CCCUUAGAUGUUCUGGGCCGCACGCGUGCUACACUGAGUGGAUCAGCGGGUCAGGUUGCGCGAAAGCGUUUCCUAAUCUUUAAAUCCGCUCGUGAUGGGGAUUGACGGUUGCAAUUUUCUGUCAUGAACGAGGAAUUCCUUGUAAGCGCGGGUCAUCAUCCCGCGCUGAAUACGUCCCUGCCCUUUGUACGCACCGCCCGUCGCUCCUACCGAUUGAGUGGUCCGGUGAGGCUUUGGGAUCUGAGCGGAAAGAGCGUUUCGCUGUUUCUGCUCGGAAAACUCAGUCGAACCUUAUCAUUUAGAGGAAGGAGAAGUCGUAACA
rnacentral:rRNA from 1 species